rnacentral:rRNA from 1 species
CCUACUGGUGACAUCAUUGAGGCAUCUUGGUCAAUGGACGCAAGUCUGAACCAGCCAUGCCGCGUGCAGUCUUCCUUCUCUCUUCUUUUUCCCCUUCUUUUUUCCUCUUUUCCCCCCCGCUCCUUUUAUCGGGUUGAAAGUAUCGUACGAAUAAGGAUCGGCUAACUCCGUGCCAGCCGCCUCGGUAAUACGUCGGCUCCGCGCGUUAUCCGGAUUUAUUGGGUUUAAAGGGUGCGUAGGCUGUGAGGUAAGUCAGCGGUGAAAUGCCCCCGCUCAACGGGGUGAAGUGCCAGUGAUACUGCCUUGCUGGAAUGCGGAUGCCGUGGGAGGAAUGUGUGGUGUAGCGGUGAAAGGCAUAGAGAUCACACAGAACACCGAUUGCGAAGGCAUCUCACGAAUCAGCGAGUGACGCUGAUGCACGAAAGCGGGGGGAUCAAACAGGAGGAGAGAAAAGGGGAGUC